GAAAAAGGGAAACAAGAAUGAGAGAAUAUUAGCAAUACUCAUAUCCAAAAAGGUGGAUACGAUGCAGACUACACAGUACCCUGGCCACACUGAGGAAUCAUGUAAAAUGAAUAUUUCAGAGAGUUUAGCAGUCAAGCAAUUUGUAUGGAAUAAAAGCACUUUUAUAUUGCCUCCUGCUACAACACCAGUGGGGAAAGGGCAGCAAAACAGUGGGAG
rnacentral:lncRNA from 1 species